ensembl:lncRNA
AAGCAGGCUUUAUUGCUGGCACCCCUCCCCCAACCCCCCACCUCCGCAGGAUGGAAUAUCUCUUCUUCCUCAAAUUGCAAGCAGCCUAGAUCAUUCCCCUCACUUCUCAGGGAAGAAAGCCAAGACCCCAAGCGGUCAGUGACUUCUUUUGUCCAAUAGCCCACCAGAGCGGACCUAUGGACACAGAGCCAGGCUGACGGGCGUGUGGCCUCCCUUGAGGGACUGCUGGGUGCGGGCAGUGGGGCUGCUGGACGUGAGCUGAGCCCUCUCUGCCUCCAGAAAGAGGUUUGCGCUGGAGGAGGGGGACAGGAGGGAGAGGGGAGAGCUGAUCCGUCAGCAACUGCAGGCCAGGCUGGGGAGUCCUGCUACCCCACCGACAGCGGAAGGCACCCUGGGGCGGCUGGCCAGAGCCCAGCGGGGACACUCGGCUUCCACUGGGAGCAGUCCUGGUACCCCAGCAAGAAUUCUCCAGAGCCGCUACCAUGUCCUAAGCUGGAAGGAUGCUAGGAUGCUGAGAACAAAGGACACAGGUCUUGCCCUCAAGUGGCCCGCAGCCCAGUGAGAGGGAGCCCAAGUGGCUGGUGUCAAGGGCUGCUCUGAGGUGCCCGGUGGAUACUGACUGGUAGAUGGACUGACGACUUGGCGUUUUCUUGCUGAGCUUCCUUUCCCGGAAGCAACAAACCCCGACAGGGAGCACUAGCCUCUGCUCACCCAGGACUCUGGAAAUGUACUCCCACCUCGGAUCGCUGGCAUCUUGUACCGCUGCCUGCCCACCUGACCAGAUCCCCUCUGAACUCUGCCACCGUGAAGACCUGCUUUCUCUGACACCAGCCAUCUGGUCAGCAGCUGGGAAGUCAAGCCCAAGGUGUCCUGGGACCACCCCCCCCAAAAAAAAAAUGAGCAUCUCCUAUCCUCUGCAGGACUGCCAGGGGAAGAGAAAUGAGAUGAGUCUGUGGCACAGAGAAUAGGAACAGGCCCACUGCGGACAAAAUAAAGGACUGUUGUGCUAAGUGGCUUCAGUUGUGUCUGACUCUUUGUAACCCUAUGGACUGUAGCCCGCCAGGCUCCUCUGUCCAUGGGAUUUCCCAGGCAAGAAUACUGGAGUAGGUUGACCAUGCCCUCCUCCAGGGGAUCUUCCCAACCCAGGGAUUGAACACACGUCUCUUAUGUCUCCUGCAUUGGCAGGCGGGUUCUUUACCACUAG